GCCAAAACCUCUCACCCAAAAUGGGCCAAAUCUGUUGUAAUUUGCAUAACAAUAAGUUGCCCGUCGUAGUGCAAGCUGAAUACUCACUCUGCAGUUGGGCACAGAUGAGCGAAGACGCAACAUUAUGUGUGGUGAAUUCACAAGUUUAAGCUUUUAUAAGACGUAGAAGCAAGUAUAUGAUUACACUUGGGCAACCCAUUUAUGCUUAAAAAGAUUGACAUGCUAUCAAAGAUCUUUUUGUAAGAAGCCCACGGAGAAAAUGUGCAACGUGGGCCUGCAAGCAACAAGGUCUUUGGUUGACAUAUGUCAUGCUCAAUUUCAUGUAUCUCUUAUAUCAAAUCCGAAUAAAUAUUGCUAUAAUC
rnacentral:lncRNA from 1 species